rnacentral:sRNA from 1 species
GUGUUUUUACGCUUAAGUUGCUUUUUAUCUCACCGAAACUUCACUUAGGAGCUUUCAGAGUCUUUGUUCUGUGAGGACCUGCUGCUGCGGCUUAAACAGAUCGCAGAUAAUAUCCCCGAUUUAAGAUCAACUGCUCGGGGCGCACAUUAACUUUCUUUUUCUUUCUUUUGAAAGCUUCGCGCCCAGUCCUGUUGCGGGCUCACGCGGUGGGUGUGGGGUAGAUAGGAGGCCUUUGGACGAGGGUCACCUCCCGCCCUUGUUCACUUGAGAGCAGUGGAGAGGAAAGCGGUCACUAAAGGUGGACUUUGACUUCUGGAACCCGGGAGGCGGGCGGGAGGGAGCCAGCCAGUGUCUCUCUGAGCGGUUGGGGAGAGCUGAGAGGGGGAGCAAACUGCGUGGAAGAUUUUGGGGAUCUUGCCUAGAAGCGCAAAAGGAGGGCAGCUGGCCUAUUUUGCUUUUCCUGCCAGACUGAUCCAGGGUGAGCUGGGAGCGCAUGUUUAAGGGGUGAAUCUUAGGCCUAGUUUGUUGGCUCAAGUAGAAUUCUGUUAGAGAAAAACCAAUCUGCAAAAACAAUGUAAAACAACAAAUGGAAGAGUUAUCACUUCCCCGACUUUAGAUGUUCAAUUGAGGGGCGGGGACUUGGGACAAAAGAUAGGCCUUGCCUCAACUCUACUACCACAGCUACGUUCUCUGGACUUCCAUUCCGGCCUCGGCCUCGUCCAGGAUUCACAGCCAACUCACUCUCCCGGCAGCACCUCUCUUUCCCCUGGAGCGGGAGAAACCUAGUUCCCGAGCCGGUGGUGCCCGCCCCCUUGCCCCUCCCGCUCCUAACCCGGUCCCCCCCUCCAGCCAUCGCCACCUCCACCACCUCGGUUCCACUCAAUCGAUUUUUGCUGCAUGUCAACACUUAUUACCGUGUCUUUCAGGAAAGCAUAUGGCAGACCCUUCUUGGACUGAUGUGACAGUCAGCUCCUCUGGCCAUCUUCCCAUCCAAAGGUCUUGUUUUGUAGGAGCGGAUGGCUAUUGGAUAACCAGCAGCUUGUGGAUAUCAGCAGCUCGGUUCACAUGAAUCAGCAGCAGUCGCUCGAUCCACUCAUGAACACCAUUGCCAAGUCAGAAACUGCAGUUCAAGUCAGAAUCAACUGCAAUCUUCUGCCAAUAAUCAGCCUCAGUUUGCGGAAGUGAGGCAAGAAAUAUCAAAAGUUCUUUGGCAUAUUUCUGCCUAUGACAGUCACGACAAAUGAUGAUCUGUCAGGAGUGGCAUAGCAAACCAAUGCUACAGUGUCAUCAGUGAGAAGACCAGUGUCAGCAAAGCCCGACGAAGACCAUCAAAGUGUGGCAAGGUGAACCAAUGCCACACUGUCUGUUGGGUUAUACUUACACCCUUUCCAAACAUGACUGUUCUCUCAAGCAUCCACUCAGCAGAACAUCAUACGCUCUUUUCUCAGACAGCUUUCAGAAAAACACCAUGUGUCUGUUCUCAGCAAAACAUCCUCCCACGUGUCCACCACAGCGAACAGUUUCAAGAAAAACACCACAUGACACAACUAAGUCUUCAAAGAAACCAUAAGCUUCCACUUCACUCAGCUCCCUUUCUUCACUCUUUUUUUUAAGAUUUAUUUAUUUAUUACCUUUAAGU